GUGGGGAAUAUUGGACAAUGGGCGAAAGCCUGAUCCAGCAAUGCCGCGUGAGUGAUGAAGGCCUUAGGGUUGUAAAGCUCUUUUACCCGGGAUGAUAAUGACAGUACCGGGAGAAUAAGCCCCGGCUAACUCCGUGCCAGCAGCCGCGGUAAUACGGAGGGGGCUAGCGUUGUUCGGAAUUACUGGGCGUAAAGCGCACGUAGGCGGCUUUGUAAGUUAGAGGUGAAAGCCCAGGGCUCAACCCUGGAAUUGCCUUUAAGACUGCAUCGCUUGAACAUCGGAGAGGUAAGUGGAAUUCCGAGUGUAGAGGUGAAAUUCGUAGAUAUUCGGAAGAACACCAGUGGCGAAGGCGACUUACUGGACGAUUGUUGACGCUGAGGUGCGAAAGCGUGGGGAGCAAACAGGAUUAGAAACCCGGGUAGUCC
rnacentral:rRNA from 1 species